GUUCGUAGAUCUUUAUUUGGAAGGGAUCCCUAAAGGUCUCCAACUCCAAGUCCAGCACUCAUAAUUCUCUGAGGAAGAAGAUGCACUAUUAUUCAUUUCAUAAAAACCUCAUCAGAGAGAGCAAGGUCAGGAUACAGUCCAUUUAAUCGAAAGAGGACUGAAGUUUCCAAGGUGACUCAACACAGACACCCUGGUAGGGUUACCUAAUAUUCCAGCAUCAGUAGGAAACAUAUCACCUUCCUGAAGGAGAAAAACAAACCACACCUGGGUAAAUGAUGGCCAUUUACAGACUUUAACCAAGGCAAAAAUGAUUAAGUAGGGAAAAUGUUAAUCCUUCAGUUAUAGAACUUCUCCCUCAUCCUUUGGUGCCAUUCCCCCCCCCCCCUUUUUUUUGUCCCAUCUGCCCAAACCAAAGCCCUCCUGCUGCUUCCCCAAAACCCUUUGCUCCAUCCAGGCUGCUCCAU